rnacentral:rRNA from 1 species
AUGCGCUGCUUCUAAUCGUCCACUUAGGACAAUUAUUGACCAUUUGACCUCAAAUCAGGUAGGACUACCCGCUGAACUUAAGCAUAUCAAUAAGCGGAGG